CAAUUGAGUGCUAGUUCUAUUAUUCAACAGGAACAUGUCACUGAAAUUUGUUCACCCUGAGAAUAAAAGAAAAUGAAUUUGAGAAAAGUAAUGGUUAAUUAUUAUUUCAUGUUUACAUAAGAUAGCUUAUAUAUAUAAGAUAGCUUAGAUAUAUAUAUAUAUAUAUAGACACACACACGCGUGCACACAUAGAGUAGCA
rnacentral:lncRNA from 1 species